UAGGAGUUAGUUUAUACUAUAGAAUAGUUGACUGUUAAUCAACAGGUUUUUCCCCUAG
rnacentral:tRNA from 1 species